GGGGAAUCUUCCGCAAUGGACGAAAGUCUGACGGAGCAACGCCGCGUGAGCGAUGACGGCCUUCGGGUUGUAAAGCUCUGUUAAUCGGGACGAAAGGUCCUCUUGCGAAUAGUUAGAGGAAUUGACGGUACCGGAAUAGAAAGCCACGGCUAACUACGUGCCAGCAGCCGCGGUAAUACGUAGGUGGCAAGCGUUGUCCGGAAUUAUUGGGCGUAAAGCGCGCGCAGGCGGAUCAGUCAGUCUGUCUUAAAAGUUCGGGGCUUAACCCCGUGAUGGGAUGGAAACUGCUGAUCUAGAGUAUCGGAGAGGAAAGUGGAAUUCCUAGUGUAGCGGUGAAAUGCGUAGAUAUUAGGAAGAACACCAGUGGCGAAGGCGACUUUCUGGACGAAAACUGACGCUGAGGCGCGAAAGCCAGGGGAGCGAACGGGAUUAGAUACCCCGGUAGUCCUGGCCGUAAACGAUGGGUACUAGGUGUAGGAGGUAUCGACCCCUUCUGUGCCGGAGUUAACGCAAUAAGUACCCCGCCUGGGGAGUACGACCGCAAGGUUG
rnacentral:rRNA from 1 species